UUAACUCAAAUUUGUAUAGAGUUGGAAGGUUUGCUAAGUUUGCCGCUAGGGACGCUGUUCCAACUUCUUACAAAUUGGAGUUA
rnacentral:pre_miRNA from 1 species